UUCUUUAUCACCGAGUGCUUGCACUCACCGAUAAAGAGUUGAGUGGCGAACGGGUGAGUAACACGUGGGCAACCUGCCCAAAAGAGGGGGAUAACACUUGGAAACAGGUGCUAAUACCGCAUAACCAUAGUUACCGCAUGGUAACUAUGUAAAAGGUGGCUAUGCUACCGCUUUUGGAUGGGCCCGCGACGCAUUAGCUAGUUGGUGGGGUAAAGGCUUACCAAGGCAAUGAUGCGUAGCCGAACUGAGAGGUUGAUUGGCCACAUUGGGACUGAGACACGGCCCAAACUCCUACGGGAGGCAGCAGUAGGGAAUCUUCCACAAUGGGCGAAAGCCUGAUGGAGCAACGCCGCGUGGGUGAAGAAGGUCUUCGGAUCGUAAAACCCUGUUGUUAGAGAAGAAAGUGCGUGAGAGUAACUGUUCACGUUUCGACGGUAUCUAACCAGAAAGCCACGGCUAACUACGUGCCAGCAGCCGCGGUAAUACGUAGGUGGCAAGCGUUAUCCGGAUUUAUUGGGCGUAAAGAGAACGCAGGCGGUCUUUUAAGUCUGAUGUGAAAGCCUUCGGCUUAACCGGAGUAGUGCAUUGGAAACUGGGAGACUUGAGUGCAGAAGAGGAGAGUGGAACUCCAUGUGUAGCGGUGAAAUGCGUAGAUAUAUGGAAGAACACCAGUGGCGAAGGCGGCUCUCUGGUCUGUAACUGACGCUGAGGUUCGAAAGCGUGGGUAGCAAACA
rnacentral:rRNA from 1 species